GGCAAACUUUGACCUGUAGCUUCUGACUGCCUCCAGGACGUGAACACUCAUGUUCUGGCUGUCUUCUCUGCCGCACAGAUAACAGCAGACAUGGUACAACGGUCAGGAAAGCAGGACAGGAGGACCACACGUUCAAGGCCUGCUUGGACUUCAGAGUAAAUUCUAGGUCAGCCUGGGGAACUUGGUGGAAUCCUGUCUCCAAACAAAACAAAAUGUGGGCUUGUGGUGCAGGGUGGACUUCCGGCUACAAGCGCCGAGGCUUCGCGUUCUUUCAUUGGAUGGAAAAGAAAACUUCGUGAACAAAAUAAGCUAAAAAGAUCUGCAUAAACAAUUUUUAUUUUUAAAUUAAGACCACGGUUCCGUCCAAGCACACACGGCAUGGCUCACAGCUGCCUGGAAGUCCAGCCCAGGGUACCAGCCGCCUUCUGUUUGCACAAGUGUACACGAGUGCAGACACACACAGAGACACACAGAACUAACUGAUAAAUCUGCACGACGGAGGGAAAGCAACCUGACAGUGGCAUGGGCUGACGAACCUAGGGAAAAGCAGGGGCUCAAAUCUUUCUCUUCCGAGCCUUGUUGUACAUCCCCUGCCAGCCAGGCAUUUGCUCCUCGCUGUGCAGUUUAGGCUGGCCUUGAACUUACAUAGGCACGUGCCCUCACGCCCAGUUUGUUUUUGCCAUAGAGUACAUGUGAGGCUAUAAGAUCUCACGGGGUCAAGGUUGGUCUUGAAUCACUGUGGAUAAAAACACCGUGAAUAUUCAAUCUCUGGGUUAUAGACGUGAACCGCCACACACAACAACCUCUAUUUAUCUUUAAGCCUAUUUUUAUUAGCAAUCCAGACUUACCGUCUCUUGGCAUGCAUGUGCAUGAGAGAGAGAGAGAGAGAGAGAGACAGACAGACAGACAGACAGACAUAUUGACCCACAUGGGAUCAUGUGUGCAGUUGAGUGUGUGAAGUGUAGGUUGUGUUCACACACGUGGCAUCCUGAAGUUGACGCUGGGUGUCUUCCUCCAUCCCAGGAGGGAGCCUUGAGCUUGCUGGUUCUACUGCCAGUCUCUCUAGCCAUCUUGGCCUGAGCACUGGGAUUCCAGCGGCUGCUGCACCCCGCUGCCUUUUCCAUGCAUUCCAGGCAUCCAAACUCCAGUCCCCCUGCUUAUUCAGCAAGCAGAUUAUCUUAUC
rnacentral:sRNA from 1 species